GGAACAUGUUCCCAAAUCUGGUUACAAAAGAGGAACUAGCUACAAAACCAGAAUUGGAUGGCUUCAGAAAGCAUGUGACAAGCUUGGCAGCCCUCGACUUCCUAGUCUGUUUGAAGUCUGAUGUAUUUGUGAUGACACACGGAGGGAACUUCGCCAAACUGAUAAUAGGACAUCGUAGGUACAUGGGUCAUCGUCUAAAAUCCAUUAAGCCGGACAAGGGUCUGAUGUCCAAAUCCCUAGGAGAUCCAUAUAUGGGGUGGGCUUCCUUUGUGGAAGACGUUGUCAUAACCCAUCAGACUAGAACUGGUUUACCUGAAGAAACGUUUCCAAAUUAUGAUCUUUGGGAGAAUCCUUUAACAAAUUGCAUGUGUAAAGCCUGAAUUGACAAAUCUUUAUUGUGAAGAUAAGCCCUUUAAGUUGGUGCAUCUUUCUAGAGUGCUGCACAGGGAAUCGCGAAACUAACAGAGCCAGAAUUACAAUGCAAUUUACACAUGGGGAUCCCAGAAUGGAUAGAAUGUUGUAGUCCCUGAAAAUUAUUAACAGAGGAGUUCAGCAAACUGGCUAUUAGGAGUGGGCUCUCUCUAUAGCUGCCGCCCUGUAUUGCCACAUCUGUGUUUAUGAUCUACUUACGUUGGGCGCGGACACCAAUACAGUUUUGUAUUCUGAUUUAUUCUCAAUUGUUUCAUGAUAUAAUGUAUAUUAUUUGCAGUAAUAGAAAAAGCUUCCUUCAUUUCAUUUGAACACAGAUCAUAUCUCAUGAG
rnacentral:misc_RNA from 1 species